UACGUAGGGUGCGAGCGUUGUCCGGAAUUAUUGGGCGUAAAGAGCUCGUAGGCGGUUUGUCGCGUCUGCCGUGAAAGUCCGGGGCUCAACUCCGGAUCUGCGGUGGGUACGGGCAGACUAGAGUGAUGUAGGGGAGACUGGAAUUCCUGGUGUAGCGGUGAAAUGCGCAGAUAUCAGGAGGAACACCGAUGGCGAAGGCAGGUCUCUGGGCAUUACCUGACGCUGAGGAGCGAAAGUGUGGGGAGCGAACAGG
rnacentral:rRNA from 1 species